rnacentral:rRNA from 1 species
GAUGAACGCUGGCGGCGUGCCUAAUACAUGCAAGUCGAGCGAACGGACGAGAAGCUUGCUUCUCUGAUGUUAGCGGCGGACGGGUGAGUAACACGUGGAUAACCUACCUAUAAGACUGGGAUAACUUCGGGAAACCGGUGCUAAUACCGGCUAAUAUUUUGAACCGCAUGGUUCAAAAGUGAAAGACGGUCUUGCUGUCACUUAUAGAUGGAUCCGCGCUGCAUUAGCUAGUUGGUAAGGUAACGGCUUACCAAGGCAACGAUGCAUAGCCGACCUGAGAGGGUGAUCGGCCACACUGGAACUGAGACACGGUCCAGACUCCUACGGGAGGCAGCAGUAGGGAAUCUUCCACAAUGGGCGAAAGCCUGACGGAGCAACGCCGCGUGAGUGAUGAAGGUCUUCGGAUCGUAAAACUCUGUUAUUAGGGAAGAACAUAUGUGUAAGUAACUGUGCACAUCUUGACGGUACCUAAUCAGAAAGCCACGGCUAACUACGUG